CCUACGGGGUGCAGCAGUGGGGAGUAUUGCACAAUGGGCGCAAGCCUGAUGCAGCCGUGCCGCGUGUAUGAAGAAGGCCUUAGGGUUGUAAAGUACUUUCAGUUGGGAGGAAGGCGUUGAUGCUANUAUCAUCAACGAUUGACGUUACCAACAGAAGAAGCACCGGCUAACUCCGUGCCAGCAGCCGCGGUAAUACGGAGGGUGCAAGCGUUAAUCGGAAUUACUGGGCGUAAAGCGCACGCAGGCGGUUGAUUAAGUUAGAUGUGAAAUCCCCGGGCUUAACCUGGGAAUGGCAUCUAAGACUGGUCAGCUAGAGUCUUGUAGAGGGGGGUAGAAUUCCAUGUGUAGCGGUGAAAUGCGCAGAGAUGUGAAGGAAUUCCGGUGGCGAAGGCGGCCCCCUGGACAAAGACUGACGCUCAGGUGCGAAAGCGUGGGGAGCAAACAGGAUUAGAUACCCCAGUAGUC
rnacentral:rRNA from 1 species